UUGUUUGUAUUUGUUGAUACUCAGACAUUCGCUAAGAAGGGUUGUGGUUAUCCCGCGCGGGCUUGCGCCCGCUCGAGCAACAGUGUACGGUAGACAGAGGGAGGGACGGUGCGACCGGACGGCCGACCAGAACCUGUUAAUGAUCCCUCCGCAGGUUCACCUACGGAGA
rnacentral:misc_RNA from 1 species